UGGCGGCCAUAGCGAGUGGGUCCCACCUGAUUCCAUUCCGAACUCAGAAGUGAAAACGCUCUGCGCCAAUGAUAGUGUGGAUCCUCCAUGCGAAAGUAGGGCGCCGUC
rnacentral:rRNA from 1 species